UACGUAGGGUGCGAGCGUUAAUCGGAAUUACUGGGCGUAAAGCGUGCGCAGGCGGUUUCGUAAGACAGAUGUGAAAUCCCCGGGCUCAACCUGGGAAUUGCGCUUGUGACUGCAAGGCUGGAGUGCGGCAGAGGGGGAUGGAAUUCCGCGUGUAGCAGUGAAAUGCGUAGAGAUCAGGAGGAAUACCGAAGGCGAAGGCAGUCCCCUGGGUCGACACUGACGCUCAUGCACGAAAGCGUGGGGAGCAAACAGG
rnacentral:rRNA from 1 species